CAGUGGCGUAUACUAACGUUGUUGUGGUUAAAAAGCUCGUAGUCUGAGAGUUGGUUUCACAUCUGGUUUUUAGAGCCCGGCGGCGUAUGCUGCUGUAGUGCACUGGCCGGAGGCCGUGUGUCUGUGUGUGGUGUGUCAUGUGCAAGCAUGUGUGCACCGAUGCGGACCAUUUACUGUGAAGAAAGCGGCGCGCUCCAAGCACCCAUCUCGGGUGAACAAAACAGCAUGGAAUAAUGGAAGAGGACUCGCGAGCCUUAUCCGUUGGUCUGUGGCGCGCGAGUAAUGAUUGAUAGGGGCGGUUGGGGGUGCCCGUAUUGCGCGGCCAGCGGUGGAAUGCUGUGAUUCGCGCAAGACGAACAACUGCGAAAGCACUCGCCAAGGACGUCUCCUUUGA
rnacentral:rRNA from 1 species